UACGAAGGGGGCUAGCGUUGCUCGGAAUCACUGGGCGUAAAGCGCACGUAGGCGGAUUGUUAAGUCAGGGGUGAAAGCCUGGAGCUCAACUCCAGAACUGCCCUUGAUACUGGCAAUCUCGAGUCCGGAAGAGGUAAGUGGAACUCCGAGUGUGGAGGUGAAAUUCGUAGAUAUUCGGAAGAACACCAGUGGCGAAGGCGGAUCUCUGGGCCAUUACUGACGCUGAGGAGCGAAAGCGUGGGGAGCGAACAGG
rnacentral:rRNA from 1 species